AACCGCGGUUAUACGAGGGACCCAAAUUGAUAAAUCACGGCGUAAAGUGUGAUUAGAGGCAAACCAAACUAGAGCCAAAUACCCCUUAUGCAGUCAUACGCCAUAGGGGUCACGAAGACCAACAACGAAGGUGGUUCUAUAAAACUUGAACUCACGACAGCUAGGACA
rnacentral:rRNA from 1 species